rnacentral:rRNA from 1 species
UAAUACGUAGGGGGCAAGCGUUAUCCGGAAUUACUGGGUGUAAAGGGAGAGUAGGCGGUAUGGUAAGUUAGAUGUGAAAGCCCAAGGCUUAACCUCGGGAUUGCAUUUAAAACUAUCAAACUAGAGUACAGGAGAGGUAAGUGGAAUUCCUAGUGUAGCGGUGAAAUGCGUAGAUAUUAGGAAGAACACCAGUGGCGAAGGCGACUUACUGGACUGAAACUGACGCUGAGGCUCGAAAGCGUGGGGAGCGAACAGG